rnacentral:lncRNA from 1 species
CCGGCGACACGCUUGGUGGCUUUGGUGCCGUGCUCGAAUCGAAUCUGCUGUGUACUGCCCUCGUAGGCUCGUAGUGGCUGCUGCUCGUGCAACUCUCGAACCAUUGGUCUGCCACACGCCCACACGGCGAAGCAGCGGCGAGCUUGCGCCAUGCCAUGCCAUGCCAAUCAAUUAAAAUGCAAUUAGGAAGAAUAAUUCGAGUGAUAAAAACUAAUUCUUAUAUACGAAUAUAUCUCUCCAAGAAGCAAAUAUAUAUAAAAAAAUGUUUAGAAAAAACGACCACAUAAAAUAAAAAAGAAAUAUGCCACGUACGUCCACACUGGUUGAACCACAUGUAUAUCAUUUUCUAUCAGUACUCCCUCCAUAUCUAUAAAGAAAGUCGUUUUGAAUAAGUUUUAAGUCAAACAUUUAGAAUAUAAAUCAUGAAUAACUUUUAAGUUAUUAAGUUUUAAAAAUAUAAAAAACAUAUGAAUAUAUUUGUCUUGGAAAAUACUUUUAUAAAAAUAUACAUAUACCACUUUUUGAUAAAUAUUUUUAUAAAGAACAAGAAGUCAAAGUCAAGCUUUGGAGAUCAUGUCAUUGUCUUUAGCGAAUUUCUUUAUGGGUACGGAGGGAGUAUUGCAUAACAAUUUUAUCCUAAUUGGUAAUUCAGUAAAUCAUAUAUAUAAUCAAAACAAAAACACAUUAGAAGAAUUUUUGUUCCAAUUGUUUAUAUAAUUCACCAUACAUCAUAUAUAUAAUAUAAACACAAAAUGGUAGAAAACAUGUAAUCACCUUGUGUUCAUUUUCUACAAAUAAACUACUAAAGUACUACU